ensembl:lncRNA
CACCAGGAUGUCACCAUGGCAGCACCUGAAUGUCACCAUGGGAUCACCUGAAUGUCCCCAUGGGAUCACCAUAACAUCACCAUGGGAUCACCAGGAGGUCAACAUGGGAUCAGCAGGAUGUCGCGAUGGGAUCACCAGGCUGUCACCAUGGCAGCACCAGGAUGUCACCAUGGGAUCACCUGAAUGUCCCCAUGGGAUCACCUGAAUGUCACCAUGGGAUCACCAGGAUGUUACCAUGGGAUCGCCUGAAUGUCACCACGGGAUCACCAGGAUCUCACUAUGGGAUCACCAGGAUUCCACCAUGGGAUCACCUGAACGUCCCCAUGGGAUCACCUGAAUGUCUCCAUGGGAUCACCAGGACCUCACUAUGGGAUCACCAGGAUGUCACCAUGGCAUCACCUGAAUGUCCCCAUGGGAUCACCAGGAGUCACCAUGGCAGCACCAGGAUGUCCCCAUGGGAUCACCAGGAGCUCAUUAUGGGAUCACCAGGAGGUCCCCAUAGGAUCACCUGAAUGUCCCCAUGGGAUCACCAGGAGCUCAUUAUGGGAUCACCAGGAUGUCCACAUGGGAUCACCAGGAGGUCGCCAUGACAGCACCAAGAUGUGACCAUGGGAUCACCAGGAUCUCAUUAUGGGAUCACCUGAAUGUCCCCAUGGGAUCACCAGGAUGUCAUCAUGGGAUCACCUGAAUGUCCCCAUGGGAUCACCUGAAUGUCACCAUGGGAUCACCAUAACAUCACCAUGGGAUCACCAGGAGCUCAUUAUGGGAUCACCAGGAUGUGACCAUGGGAUCAGUGCGAUGUCCCCAUGGGAUCACCAGAAUGUCCCCAUGGGAUCACCUGAAUGUCACCAUGGGAUCACCAGGAUGUCACUAUGGGAUCACCAGGAUGUCACCAUGGCAGCACCAGGAUGUCCCCAUGGGAUCACCAGGACCUCACUAUGGGAUCACCAGGAUGUCACCAUGGGAUCAGCAGGAUGUCACCACAGGAUCACAAGGAUGUCACCAUGGGAUCAGCAGGAUCUCAUUAUGGGAUCAGCAGCUGUCCGUAUGGGAUCAGUGGGCUGUCUGUAUGGGAUCACCAGGAUGUCACUAUGGGAUCAGCAGGCUGUCACUAUGGGAUCACCGCAACGUCACCAUGGGAUCAGAAGGCUGUCUGUAUGGGAUCACCAGGAUGUCCCUAUGGGAUCAGCAAGCUGUCACUAUGGGAUCACCAGGCUGUCCCUAUGAGAUCAGCAGGAUGUUGCUAUGGGAUCAGCAGGAUCCCACCAUAGCAGUACCAGGCUGACACUAUGGGAUCAGAAGGCUGUCACUAUGGGAUCACCGUAAUGUCACCAUGGGAUCAGCAGGCUGUCACUAUGGGAUCAGCAGGCUGUCCGUAUGGGAUCAGCAGACUGUCCCUAUGGGAUCAGUGGGCUGUCUGUAUGGGACCAGCAGGCUGUUCCUAUGGGAUCAGUGAAUCUCACUAUGGGACCACCAGGCUGUCCGUAUGGGAUCAGUGGGCUGUCUGUAUGGGAUCAGUAGGAUCUCACUAUGGGACCACCAGGCUGUCUGUAUGGGAUGAGGCGGCUGCCCGUAUGGGAUCAGUGGGCUGUCUGUAUGGGAUCAGCAGACUGUCCCUAUGGGAUCAGUGGGCUGUCUGUAUGGGAUGAGGUGGCUGUCCAUAUGGAAUCAGUGUGCUGUCUGUAUGGGAUCAGUAGGAUCUCACUAUGGGAUCAGCAGGCUGUCCGUAUGGGAUCAGAAGGCUGCCCGUGUGGGAUCGGUGGGCUGUCUGUAUGGGAUCAGAAGGCUGUCCGUGUGGGAUCAGUGGGCUGUCUGUAUGGGAUCAGCAGGAUCUCACUAUGGGAUCAGUAGGAUCUCUCUAUGGGAUCAGCAGGAUCUCACUAUGGGAUCAGCAGGCUGUCCCUAUGGGAUCAGUAGGCUGUCUGUAUGGGAUGAGGCGGCUGCCCAUAUGGGAUCAGUGGGCUGUCUGUAUGGGAUCAGUGGGCUGUUCCUAUGGGAUCAGCAGGAUCUCACUAUGGGACCAUCAGGCUGUCCGUGUGGGAUCAGCGGUGUGGUGCUUGUGCGGUGCGGGGCGGUACGGUGCGGU